CGUCAGCUCGUGUCGUAGGAUGUAGGUUUAAGUCCCGCAACGAGCACAACCCUUGAUUUUAGUAGCCAGCAUUUAGUUGGGCACUCUAAAGUGACUGCCGGUGCAAGCCGGAGGGAGGUGGGGAUGACGUCAAAUCAUCAUGCCCCUUAUGACCUGGGCUACACACGUGCUACAAUGGAUAGUACGAAGGGUCGCGAGGCCGCGAGGUGGAGCUAAUCCCAUAAAACUAUUCUCAGUUCGGAUUGUAGGCUGCAUCUCGCCUACAUGAAGCCGGAAUCGCUAGUAAUCGUGGAUCAGCAUGCCACGGUGAAUACGUUCCCGGGC
rnacentral:rRNA from 1 species